rnacentral:tRNA from 1 species
GCGGUAAUAGCUCAGUCGGUAGAGCGUUGGCUUCCCAAGCCGAAGGUCGCGGGUUCGAACCCCGUUUACCGCU